AUAGCCCGAAGUAACGUUGCAGGUGCGGCUGCUGUGCCACAUGUGUGUCAGUAAGUGGUAGAAAAGAGAGAGGAUUGUUGGAGGAGAGUGUACUCAGUGUUCUGACCUAUGAAUAUCUGAAUGAUAGCCU
rnacentral:snoRNA from 1 species